rnacentral:RNase_P_RNA from 1 species
CUUGACAAACGCUGUAUCUAAUAUGAUAUAGAGGAAAGUCCAUGCUCGCACUGUUCUGAGAUGACAGUAGUGAUUGUGCACAGGGAAAAAAUAACCUGUGGUAGCAUUUUGCUAACGGCACCGAACUGACCUAAGUCUUUAUGAUAUGGUCACGGGUAGGUAUAAAGUGCCAUAGUGACGAUACUUGCUAGAAAUAGUAAGAGUGGAACGCGGUAAACCCCACAAGCGAGAAACCCAAAAUAUGGUAGGGGAGCUUUGAUGAGAUAAAUGAAUUAAGUCAAGGACUGGUAACAGUAGAUAAAUGUUUGUCGCCUAUAUAAUAGGUACAGAACAUGGCUUAUAA